rnacentral:rRNA from 1 species
UACGGAGGGUGCAAGCGUUAUCCGGAUUCACUGGGUUUAAAGGGUGCGUAGGAGGGCAGGGAAGUCCGUGGUGAAAUCUCCGAGCUUAACUCGGAAACUGCCGUGGAUACUCUCUGUCUUGAAUCCCGUGGAGAUGAGCGGAAUAUGUCAUGUAGCGGUGAAAUGCUUAGAUAUGACAUAGAACACCAAUUGCGAAGGCAGCUCGUUACACGAAGAUUGACUCUGAGGCACGAAAAGCGUGGGGAUCAAACAGG